GAGUUUGAUCUUGGCUCAGAUUGAACGCUGGCGGCAGGCCUAACACAUGCAAGUCGAGCGGUAGAGAGAAGCUUGCUUCUCUUGAGAGCGGCGGACGGGUGAGUAAUGCCUAGGAAUCUGCCUGGUAGUGGGGGAUAACGCUCGGAAACGGACGCUAAUACCGCAUACGUCCUACGGGAGAAAGCAGGGGACCUUCGGGCCUUGCGCUAUCAGAUGAGCCUAGGUCGGAUUAGCUAGUUGGUGAGGUAAUGGCUCACCAAGGCGACGAUCCGUAACUGGUCUGAGAGGAUGAUCAGUCACACUGGAACUGAGACACGGUCCAGACUCCUACGGGAGGCAGCAGUGGGGAAUAUUGGACAAUGGGCGAAAGCCUGAUCCAGCCAUGCCGCGUGUGUGAAGAAGGUCUUCGGAUUGUAAAGCACUUUAAGUUGGGAGGAAGGGCAGGUAAAUUAAUACUUUAGCUGUUUUGACGUUACCGACAGAAUAAGCACCGGCUAACUCUGU
rnacentral:rRNA from 1 species